CGCGCCACCGCAAAAAUCUACUAUUUCCUUUUCAACUCUGUCCCCUCUUCUUAUCUUUUCUUCUUUUCUCUCUAACCUCCUUUUACUUUCCUUCUUCUGUCUUUUCCAGCUUUUAUUUUCCUUAAGAUCUCGGAAACCUAAAAAGAGGAAUCUAGGGGUUUAUGAGUAAGAAGAAGAGGUGGUUCUGAUGAUAAGAUCGUCUUCUUCUUCUUCGCUAUGGGAGGAGUAACUUCGUCAAUCGCCGCUAAAUUCGCUUUCUUCCCGCCAACCCCACCUUCUUACGCUUUCAUUACCGACGUUAGCUCCUCCUCCUCCGUUGACCGACUGUACAUCACCGAUGUUCCUCGCCGCGACGACGUUGACGUCCUCAAGCUACGCACUCGUCGUGGCAACGAGAUCGUUGCUAUAUACGUCAAACACCCCAAAGCUAACGCUACGCUUCUCUAUUCCCAUGGCAACGCAGCUGAUUUGGGUCAGAUGUUUGAGCUUUUCCUCGAGCUUAGCACCCGCCUCCGUCUUAAUCUCAUGGGGUACACCCUUUCUUUCAGCAUGACUUUAUGGGUUUCCACUUUUGUCUUAAAAAUGCUUGUGUCUUUCUUUGGUUUUGGUAAUUUGAUGUUAACACUGUAAUAAUGACAAAUCUAUCCGUCCUUUGGUUUCAGGUAUGAUUACUCUGGCUAUGGUCAGUCUACUGGAAAGGUAGUUUCCUAAGCUUCCAAGAUCUUUUUUUUUUUUCAUUUCGAAAUAACAGAUAUGAAAUUUUAUAGAUUCCUAAUGGAUUUUUAAUUUUGUUAAUUGAAAUCAGGCAAGCGAAUGUAACACAUAUGCUGAUAUAGAUGCAUCGUAUAACUGCCUGAAAGAACAAUAUGGUGUAAAAGACGAUCAACUGAUAUUAUAUGGUCAGUCUGUUGGUAGUGGACCCACGAUUGAUUUGGCUUCGCGGACGCCUAAUUUAAGAGGAGUGGUUUUGCAUAGCCCUAUUCUCUCUGGGAUGAGGGUUCUGUACCCGGUUAAACGAACUUAUUGGUUUGACAUUUACAAGGUAAGUUAGUAGACAGACACAUAUUUAGCCAUCUUUGUUUCUGGUUUCCAUGUAUUAAAUGCUUAAUACAUGAACAAUUUCUCGUUUCAGAAUAUCGACAAGAUCGGUUCUGUUACCUGUCCUGUCUUAGUCAUCCAUGUGAGUUAUGCUCAUUUCUGAUUAUUGUCUUUUUUUACUUUUCUCUCUCUUUGUUUACGGUCAUCCACAGUUACUUGCGAUGAUGUAAAACUUGUAGGUUAUAUGACCAUUUUGACAAGAAAAUGUUUGUUAAACUCUUAUUGUUUGGUAUUUUAGGGAACUGCGGAUGAAGUAGUUGAUUGGUCUCAUGGGAAACAACUGUGGGAACUUUCCAAAGAGAAGUAUGAACCUCUAUGGGUCUCUGGAGGAGGACACUGCAACCUUGAACUCUAUCCAGAGUUCAUCAAACAUCUGAAGAAGUUUGUAAUAUUUAUUUCUAAACCCAAGGGACCAAGACACGGUCCAAACAACACGAAUCCAACAGAUGCAACCAAGGACCAGAGCAAGCCUUCAGAAAAAAACAAAAUAACCAAAGUAAAAUGAUAAUAAUAAAAAAAGAAAUACAAAACACCGGCCUUUCUUCACAACGGCGGUCAUUUAGAGAGAGGGAAGCACGAUUAUUUAUUUUUCUAACGAGAAACACUUGGCGACGGUUGCUCUCUUCGUACACGCGCGGCUUCUAUCUCUCACGCGCCACCGCAAAAAUCUACUAUUUCCUUUUCAACUCUGUCCCCUCUUCUUAUCUUUUCUUCUUUUCUCUCUAACCUCCUUUUACUUUCCUUCUUCUGUCUUUUCCAGCUUUUAUUUUCCUUAAGAUCUCGGAAACCUAAAAAGAGGAAUCUAGGGGUUUAUGAGUAAGAAGAAGAGGUGGUUCUGAUGAUAAGAUCGUCUUCUUCUUCUUCGCUAUGGGAGGAGUAACUUCGUCAAUCGCCGCUAAAUUCGCUUUCUUCCCGCCAACCCCACCUUCUUACGCUUUCAUUACCGACGUUAGCUCCUCCUCCUCCGUUGACCGACUGUACAUCACCGAUGUUCCUCGCCGCGACGACGUUGACGUCCUCAAGCUACGCACUCGUCGUGGCAACGAGAUCGUUGCUAUAUACGUCAAACACCCCA
rnacentral:lncRNA from 1 species